GACCUCGAGCAUGUUAAUUUAAACUGCAACCCUGCUGGCUGUUGUGACUAACUGAUGAGGCAGGCACUAUACUUUUCUUCAAUCAUGUCUGGGGAGAGGUAGGAAAUUUAGUUGUGGUCCUCUUAGACAAUCAUGAUGCAUUUGGUUGUCAUCUAAAUUGCAAAUUGAUGGGAAUUUUUGGCUUAAAAGAUGGCUAUUUGUUCCAUCUGACACUUGGAGUGGUGCAAGUUUUUUGAAACUACAUUAUCGAAGGUCCCAUUUUUCAGCCUUGUGUGCGCCAAAUCAGUAUCCAGAUUCAGGUUGGACGUGAAACACUGGGGAUGUUGAUUUGGGGAGAAAAGCAUCCUGCCUGGGCAGAAAAAUCAGGACAUGGAAAUGCAACCUUUAAGUGCAUGGGGCUGAUAUUUCUUGUAAUUAGGAGUUUGAUUUCAUUAUUCACUUCACUUGGUCCCUUUUUAAUUAAAAACAGGAUAUAAAGCUCAUACCACCAUUCUGGUUGGAUAAGUAGGUCCAAAUAUCCUUUAGAUAAAAUAGUAGAGACCUCAUUGUUCUCUUAGAAUUUUUCUACAAAGGCCAUUGGAUAUAUCAAUUCCUGGCAUUUUUUAUUGCACAGUUCAAAAACUCACUGACUCGACUCGAAACUCGAGGGAGUAAACUCUGACUUGCUGAGAUUUUUAGCUGCAUCACUGGGAAACUUGGUUGUGGCCGUGACUCGACCUCACUGAGAUUGUAUCCUGUUGUUGUUUGAUAGAUUUUGACUCUAAAUUUUUAUUUUUCAGAGAAAUCAACAGUAGAGAAUGCAGGACAAAGUCAGCAUUGACCCAUGGUAGUCCAGGUUCAACUCUCUCUACCUUGUUAGGCAUAUGUAUACUUGGGUUUAUUUUCAUGGUAUUUUGAUUAUUUACAAUGGCACGUAUCCAUUUAAUGUUCUAACUAUUACACCCAUCUCUUUAUAUCACAUGACAUCAUCAAUAUGAUUAAAUAUCUUUCAGUAUGUUACUUACCAGGAAAAAAAAAAAAAAGAACAUUUUUUGCCUACUUUUGAGGUUUUUAUGGUUCCAAUGGCAUAUUAUUUCUAUUCUCAGUCAGGACUGUGUAAUUAUGGAUGAUAGGUUAUGCUUUAAACUUCAUUGAUCUAGUGAAAAAUGAGAGUUUCAUUGAUGUAGGUCAUACUUGUACAUAGGACCAGUUUGGCGGUUGUCCAUUGUUUUUUGUGGUCCACAUGAUGAGGGGAUUGGUCUGAUUUUUGCAUCUUUGUGGUGGGGCCAAGCAAUGAGUGCAUCAUCACAGUUUUUGCAUUUAUGUAUUUCUAUUUUGUUCAUGAAUUACUUUACUAUGAAUAAUUGCAAAUCAUUUUUAGGCUUUAACCAGAGAUUUAAUUUGUACUCUCUAGAUUUUAUAGGUGAUGCUGCUUGCACAUUUCAAGCGAUUGAUGAGAGAGUUUACACAUAUGCAUGACCAAGCUGUUCAUCCAACCUGAUUCUUGGACCAAGCAUAAGUUGUGGGUGGAAGAAGUUGACGGUUGGAUUUUUCUGGCCUUACAUGCGUCAGAUUUUGGGCUGUCCUUCUGUUGGACGCUCACCUUGAAAAUCAAGUUGCAACACUCAUCAAGUAUCUGUAUAGGAGAGAUUUGCUUCUUGCAUCAGAGUUCAAUAUCAUGAAUGAUUAUAUGCUGUCAGGUUUGUCAAUUCAAGAGUUCAAUAUCAUGUUGUUUAUCUAUUGAUCGUUUGGCCUGAAACAUCAGAUUGCUUGAUGGGUUUUGAUUUUUAAGCUUUUUCUGAAAAAUUUUCAACUGACAAUCAUGCGAGUAGUUAAAUCUUAUGAUCAGUUUCGGUGUCCUGCCUUCAUCACACUUUUCUGGAUAAUAUCAUUAUCUGGAGGGUUGGCCAUUCCUUCUGAGUUGGAUUUGGACUUUGGUUCAACCAUGUGUUGGUAUUUGGAGUGAUAAAUGCUACUCAAAAUAUGGAAGAAGAUGGCCAUUUAUUUUAGUUGGAUCCCUCAUGAUCUCUAUCACUGGUCCAGCUCCUGCUCUUCUGGCUAAUCUCUCAGGUGGUUUCCAUUUUUGAAAACAAGAGCUUGCUGUGAAGCCUGUGGAAACUUGAAAGCAGCCUUUUGGAGUCUUCGCUUCUAUUCGCUGGUCAUGAUGAGAAUGGGCCUAGUUUAUACUACACGGACCCAUCUGGUACCUUCUGGCAAUGCAAUGCAAAGGCAAUAGGUUCGGGCUCCGAAGGUGCUGACAGCUCAUUGCAGGAGCAAUACAACAAGGUAUCAUUCAUUCAAUCAAAGAUUUUCUUUUUUCUUUUAUUUUGUUCAUUUUCUUCUUAUUUGUGGACAUUAUACUUCUGUUUC